GCAGGAUAGUCUAGUGGUUAGAGUGUAGAGGCGGCAGGGUAGCCUAGUGGUUAGAGUGUAGGGGCGGCAGGGUAGCCUAGUGGUUAGAGUGUAGAGGCGGCAGGGUAGCCUAGUGGUUAGAGUGUAGGGGCGGCAGGGUAGCCUAGUGGUUAGAGUGUAGAGGCGGCAGGGUAGCCUAGUGGUUAGAGUGUAGGGGUGGCAGGGUAGCCUAGUGGUUAGAGUGUAGAGGCGGCAGGUAGCCUAGUGGUUAGAGUGUAGAGGUGGCAGGUAACCUAGUGGUUAGAGUGUAGAGGCGGCAGCGUAGCCUAGUGGUUAGAGUGUAGAGGCGGCAGGUAGCCUAGUGGUUAGAGUGUAGAGGCGGCAGGUAGCCUAGUGGUUAGAGUGUAGGGGUGGCAGGGUAGCCUAGUGGUUAGAGUGUAGGGGCGGCAGGGUAGCCUAGUGGUUAGAGUGUAGGGGCGGCAGGGUAGCCUAGUGGUUAGAGUGUAGGGGCGGCAGGGUAGGCUUGUGGUUAGAGUGUAGGGGCGGCAGGGUAGCCUAGUGGUUAGAGUGUAGGGGCGGCAGGUAAACUAGUGGUUAGAGUGUAGGGGCGGCAGGUAACCUAGUGGUUAGAGUGUGGAGGCGGCAGGGUAGCCUAGUGGUUAGAGUGUAGGGGCGGCAGGUAACCUAGUGGUUAGAGUGUAGAGGUGGCAGGUAACCUAGUGGAUAGAGUGUAGAGGUGGCAGG
ensembl:lncRNA